GCUGUGGGAUGCAGACCCGCAGAGGCGAGGGCAGAGGGCGCGGGAAGCCUGCGUGUCCCGGACGCAGUGUCUCAGGGCUGGGUUUGGUUGUGCCCUGCAACCCGGAGCGCGUCCUGAUUGUCCAGGUCCGAGACUGAGGAAUGAGGAGUCCAGGCCGGGUGCCGAUUCAAGCCCCGACUCCGGCCUCAGUCCCGUUUCCACACCAAGAAUGGCUUCAGUCUCCCGAAGUUGGUGGGGUUUGGACUUUAUCUCUUUUUGCUUUGGGAACCUACUGUGUGUAAGUCUUCGCUGGUCUGCAAAGGAAUCUAAGGCGAGCGCCGUGAGUUAGAGGAUGGGGCGAUGAGAGCUUGGAGAUGCCUGAGGUAUGGUCCUUACCCGCGUGACAGGUUGGAGGUCCAGGUGAGAAGUCAGGGUUGAAAACUUCAUGGAGGAUUCAUCAUUUCUGCCCUGAAUUGGAAUCAAUUCCUUAUUGACUUAUUACUGUAUUAAAAGUGUUUUAAUUAACUAUGA